AGCAGCCGCGGUAAUUCCAGCUCCAAUAGCGUAUAUUAAAGUUGUUGCAGUUAAAAAGCUCGUAGUUGAAUUUCGGGAUCAAAGAAUCGGUCAUGCCUUGGUAUGUACUGGUUUUAUUGGUUCUCACCUUCUAAAGAACCAUGAUGUCAUUCAUUUGAUGUUAUGGGGAAUUAGGACUGUUACCUUGAAAAAUUAGAGUGUUUAAAGCAAGCUUACGCUUGAAUACAUUAGCAUGGAAUAAUGAAAUAGGACAUCAGAUUCUAUUUUGUUGGUUUCUAGGAUCGAUGUAAUGAUUAAUAGGGAUAGUUGGGGGCAUUAGUAUUCAAUUGUCAGAGGUGAAAUUCUUGGAUUUAUUGAAGACUAACUACUGCGAAAGCAUUUGCCAAGGAUGUUUUCAUUAAUCAAGAACGAAAGUUAGGGGAUCGAAGACGAUCAGAUACCGUCGUAGUCUUAACCAUAAACUAUAGCCGACUAGGGAUCGGAUGAUGUUAAUUUUUAUGACUC
rnacentral:rRNA from 1 species